GCUUGCUGUCAAUAAAUAUGUGGGUAAAUCUCUGUUUGGGGCUCUCAGCUCUGAAGGCUGUGAGACCCGAUUUCCCACUCCACACUCUGUAUUUCUGUGUGAGUGUCUUUAAUUCCUCUGGCGCCGCUGGGUUAGGGUCUCCACGACUGAGCUGAUCUCAGUAUCUACCACAUUCUGCUUUAUUCUCUUCUCUAGGGUAAGAAAAAUCACAAUACAUGGGUAUUCAAUAAAAUUCAAUUAAUUUAAGCCUGACUCUUGAGAAUGUGCAAUUGAAGGUUAUGAAUGUGUCACACCUAAGGUGGUGGUAGAAGUCUCUGGCACAUGGAAAAUGCCUGUUUUAACUUUUAGCUAUUUUUUUCAGGUUUUUGUCAUUAGAAUAUUUCUUCUGUUUCUACUGCAAAUAACUAUCAAAAAGGAAAAGAACAACUAGGAUGGCCUCCCCUGUUUAUCAUUGGCCCUACAAUUUUCUAGGAGUAAUAUCUUUUUGGAAUUAUGUAAUGUCCUCUGCUAAUGACAGUGUAUAGAUGCUAUUACAUUUCCUUGGGGGACAAAGUACUGUUGUCUGGAAGCUUUGAGAUUAAUGUAACACAAAGUAAAUAAGGAAGCGUUUUGCAUAUUCUUAGAUUUUUACAUUUUUAUUUUAAAACAGAGAAUUUCAUAUUGAUUAACACCUACUACUAAACAGAAUGAUGCAUUAAUUAAAUGCCUUGUCCUAACUGUUAUAAGCUCUGUUAGAAAAAUAAACAUCUCACCACAAACUACAGUGUCAGCUCUUUAAUAAAUACAUAAAACAGAAGUUAGUAGUCAAUCAGAGUUAUAUGAACAGGUUCAUAGUAUAUUAUGUGAAAGUAUCAUAUUCUCCAAUAUUCUGUAUCAUUUAAGACAAUUUAAGUUACGUAUAAUUCAAAGCCAGAAAUAAUAAGAAAUCAUAAUGAAGUAGCUAAUGUAAAAUAGUUUAAAAGCUAUGUUAAAUAUACACAAAAUGAAUUUCUAUAUUAAUAUGUGCAAAUGUAUAUUUUCUUAUAAUUUAGAAUUAAAGUACUUUAUACUCAAUAUUCUUAAUAAAAUUUAUGUACCAUACUUGUCAUUGCGUAGACUUCUUAUCAAAAUUUCACAUUUAUCUGUAGGAAAAUGUAAAGUUGGUAAAAAUUGUUUACACAAAUCACACAUUUUCCAUCCUUGACAAUUGCAGUGUUUUUUUUUUAAAUAUUGCUGUAUUAGACAAUUUUAACUGAAGUAGGUUGUAGAGGCUAGAAGAAACCUGAUUAAUAGAGUUAGCUUACAAAGAUAAAUUUUAUGCAGAAAAGUAUUCCAGGUAGAUAAAAGAGUAGUGUUAUUACUCUCAGGUUUACAUUAACAGCUGCCCAGAUAGCUGAACAAUUAUUUCAUAUAAUUCAAAUAAUUUAAAUAUGCAGUUUUAUAACAGUCGUUACAUAAGCUUGAAGUUAAAGUGAUCAGAGCCAAGGGGGAAAAACCCACAAAUGAUAAAGAAGAAUAAAAAGUAAGAGGACUCUAGAAGAAAGUUGUUUUUCACAGCACUGAUUGUUUUUAUCAUAUUUUUCUCCUGCCAUUGAUACAAGACAUGUAAGAUGCUGCAAAACCUAACUAUGACAGUUCCAUGUAAUAUUUUUCCAGUUAAUUUUGUUUAAAAGUGAGAUGAUAAUAUAAAAGGAUCUCAUAUAAUAGAAUAAAAAUAAUAAAAAUUUGUUAAUGAAACGUAGACAUACCUACCCAUUCUUGUUAGUUAAGUUAGGGUUUGCUGAAAUCAUUCGCACUCACGUAAAGUAUAAAUGGGGACCUGAAAGAGCUUUUGUAAACUCAAGAUAUGCGGGAUCUGAGCUGAUAAUCAGUUAGGCUCCAUGUUGAGUUGUGCGUGACUCAGUUGUCCUUAAAUUUCGCCUUCAUAUUUUGUCAUAAAUGGGCUCUCAAAUCUUUAUAAGAAAACAAAAUUUGCCUAGAUGCAUAAACAUUUAGGUAAAGUUGGAUUAGUGUAAUAUUUAUUCAAGCAUAAUUUUAAACACUGCAUCUGAAGUGCCAACAGUUGCAAGAAAUGUCACAAUUUCAGAGAUGUUAAAUUGAAAAAGUGAUGUCUUGGAAUCAAUGAAAUAUAAAUAUGGAUAUGUAUAAUCAGUUAUACAUAAAAAUUUGCUAUAGAGGAAUUAUAAAAGAAAAGGAAAAUUAUUUGAAAGAAUGUUAGCUAUAUCUCAGUGGUCUGCAUUGCAUAAAAUGGAGUUCUUGAGGUCAAUAUAAAUAAGGAUAGUUGUAAAUUAAAUAUUGAGUCAACAUAACAGAAUGCAAUCUGCACAUGAUUGAGCUCCCAUGUAACUAUAUUUCACUUGAUACUUUUAUGAAAACAUAUAUAUUCCAAAUCCUUCAAAAUGAAAAGAAGCUCAAACAGUUGUGAAAAUUUAGAAUUCUUAGAUUUUAAUGGGUCUGUCUUUGUUCAGGGGCAAAGACUCAAAUGAGCUUUAAGAUCAAUUAAAGAUGUCUGGAAAUGAAGAACUUCAUUAUACCAUUAAAUUCAGUUAUUUUUCACUAUUAGGCUUAUUAAGCUUGAAGCUUUAGGAAAUCUCUUGGGAAGAGUGAGUGGAAAAAACAGGAGUAAGAAAAGGAAGAAAAAGCCUUUGAGUCUAAUCUACUCUACCAGGUUCCAGGAAGAAUAUAAUUCUACAGAGAAAAUUCUUCAUAAUCUAUCAUAAUAUAUUUCAGUGUCUGAUGGCUGCCUUGAAGGGAGAAGAUAAUAUAGCUUUUCAUUUAAAAAAUGCUGAUAUCUACUUGCAAUCAAAAUCUAAGAAAACAUUCAAAAUGUGGUACUUUGCUUGAGGCAGAAUUUCUAACUAUCUUGUGAAUUAAUGAUAAGAUAAAUGAAAUGGCCAAACAAUCCCUUCAGUUUACCAGGUAAGAGGAUACAAAACUCCACACUUGUGCACAAUGAAGCUAUUCAGGUUUUGAUGAUACUUUACAGUGUCCCCUAUUAACAUUCAGCUUUUAAAACUAGUAUUCUGAUAAAGUGACAUUGUAUUAUUAGUUUUUUAUGGCAGUAGUAACUUAGCACUUAAUUAAUCCAGUCAUCUGUGACAUACAUAAACUUAUCCUGUAAAAAAGA
rnacentral:lncRNA from 10 species